rnacentral:rRNA from 1 species
UACAGAGGGGGCAAGCGUUGUUCGGAAUUACUGGGCGUAAAGGGCGCGUAGGCGGCCGCCUAAGUCAGACGUGAAAUCCCUCGGCUCAACCGGGGAACUGCGUCUGAUACUGGAUGGCUUGAAUCCGGGAGAGGGAUGCAGAAUUCCAGGUGUAGCGGUGAAAUGCGUAGAUAUCUGGAGGAAUACCGGUGGCGAAGGCGGCAUCCUGGACCGGCAUUGACGCUGAGGAGCGAAAGCCAGGGGAGCAAACGGG